rnacentral:lncRNA from 1 species
GUUUAUGAUGGACCCGACCAAACUAAAAUCGAUUUUAGAUUGGCCUUUACCUAAGGGACUCAAAGCCAUACAAAGAUUUCUUGGAUUUUCUAAUUAUUACAGACGUUUUAUUAAAGGGUACUCCUCUGUUAUCGCUCCUAUCACUAAUAUGACCAAACAGGGAGCCGAUACCAAAACCUGGUCUACUGAGGCUUUAUCUGCUUUCGAAACGCUCAAACAGUCUUUUGCCUCAACACCUGUAUUAGUUCAUCCUGAUACCUCUCUACCCUUUUUACUUGAAGUUGAUGCGUCUGAAACAGGGAUAGGUGCAGUGUUGUCCCAAAGACAAAGUUUAGAUAAGCCGCU